rnacentral:rRNA from 1 species
GAUGAACGCUGGCGGCGUGCUUAAUACAUGCAAGUCGAGCGAACGGACGAGAAGCUUGCUUCCCUGAUGUUAGCGGCGGACGGGUGAGCAACACGUGGAUAACCUACCUAUCAGACUGGGCUAACUUCGGGAAACCGGAGCUAAUACCGGAUAAUAUUUUGAACCGCAUGGUUGAAAAGUGAAAGACGGUCUUGCUGUCUCUCAUACAUGCAUCCGCGCUGGAUGAGCUAGUUGGUACGGUAACGGCUUACCAAGGCGACGAUGCAUAGCCGACGUGAGCGGGUGAACGGCCACAGAGAGAGUGGAAGACGGUCCAGGCUCCUACGGGAGGCAGAGGUAGGGAAGCUACCGCAAAGGGGGGAAGCCUGACGGAGCAGCGCCGGGUGAGUGAUGAAGGUCUUCGGAGCGUAAGACUCUGUUAGUAUUGAAGAACAUAUUUGUAAGUAACUGUGCAUAUCUUGACGGUACCUAGUCAGGAAGCCACGGCUAACUACGUG